rnacentral:rRNA from 1 species
ACGGGUGAGUAACGCGUAGGAACGUGUCCUGAGGUGGGGGACAACCCCGGGAAACUGGGGCUAAUACCGCAUAUGGGCUGAGGCCCAAAGCCGAGAGGCGCCUUUGGAGCGGCCUGCGUCCGAUUAGGUAGUUGGUGGGGUAAAGGCCUACCAAGCCUGCGAUCGGUAGCUGGUCUGAGAGGACGACCAGCCACACUGGGACUGAGACACGGCCCAGACUCCUACGGGAGGCAGCAGUGGGGAAUAUUGGACAAUGGGCGAAAGCCUGAUCCAGCAAUGCCGCGUGGGUGAAGAAGGUCUUCGGAUCGUAAAGCCCUUUCGACGGGGACGAUGAUGACGGUACCCGUAGAAGAAGCCCCGGCUAACUUCGUGCCAGCAGCCGCGGUAAUACGAAGGGGGCUAGCGUUGCUCGGAAUUACUGGGCGUAAAGGGCGCGUAGGCGGCGGCCCAAGUCAGGCGUGAAAUUCCUGGGCUCAACCUGGGGACUGCGCUUGAUACUGGGUUGCUUGAGGAUGGAAGAGACUCGUGGAAUUCCCAGUGUAGAGGUGAAAUUCGUAGA